ensembl:lncRNA
AAAAAAAAAAACACUGGAAGGAAGGAAAUGUGUCUGUACAGAAAGUGAUUUGUAAGGAGCCUUUAGGCCCAGCAGUGGAAAUUCUGCAUAUUGGAGGAGCUGGGAGGAACUGAAGGCCCUCCAAAGAAAAGUCUGUUCAAUAAGCUAAGUGUUUCUGCUAGGUUAGGGCACUGGGUUGGCCUGUGAUAGAGGAGAAGGGUGCUGGAUGACCAUGUAAGAAAAAGCAGUUCAGCUUUAGAAAAGCCACCAAACUGCUGAAGUGCCACAGGUGAUGCCAGGGUUAGAGGGGAUGUCAAGAAGAGAGGAGAGGCAUCUCAAAAUGGCAGCCAAGGAAGAAACCAGUGAGUCCCCUUUCUCUCAAAGCAUCUGUGCUAGAGAAGAACAGUGACAGAGCACCUGAGACGCAGAGAGCCGUUUUCGUCUUCCUGCGACCUUGCUGCUUUGUGGCAGGAAAGGUGAGCACAAAGCCAGGCGCUGUGUGCAGGCAGCAACGGGCUGCCCCCCACCAUUCCCCAGCUGCCCCUCAUCCUCUGCCUGCUCUGAGCCCCUGUUGCACACAGGCACGUGCCUGCCAGGAGCACCGUUCUUGCCUACAGAAUACACACGUGCGUGCUCGUGCAUUGCAGCCACACAGCAAAAGCAGCAAUUCUAGCAGCAAACCCAGUCAUGUUCAUGUUCGUGUCUUUUUUUCUCCUGAAAAGCUCCCUGAAACAUGCAGACUUCAGUGAAACAACACCUGUGUGCAAACCGCAGUGGGGGUCGGAGCAAGGAAAGAAAGCCCCAUCUCAGCAAGCAAGAACGUCAGGCUAAAAGCAGCACCAGGCUUGGCUGUCUUUUUAAGACACCACUGCACGCUGGCUCUGUUUGAGCCGAUGCUGGUUGAAUGUGACUGCUUGAAAAGCUUCAUCUUCAGAAAGCUGAAGGCAUUGUGCCAGAGAUCCCGCACAUCAGGCUUCAAACCCAAGCUGUCAGGAUUGGGAAAUUUACAGAGCUCAGCUGCACCGAGGGACAGCUGGGUGCAAUGCCGAUCUAAUCCAGAUUAUAAAGCUCCCGGGGUUUGCUCAGAGGGAAUUUCGAUGCGUGCAGUCACAGCAUAGCACCCCUGCCGCGAUUCUUUUCUGGCAGUGUGAGCAUCCGUGGUCUUUCCCCAUCUCACGUGUGCAGAUGUGUGCUCUUUCCAUCGUUUCCUCCUUGCUUCUCAUGGGAGCUUGCAGAUUCAAGCAUGAAAUCUGUACAAACAAAU